rnacentral:rRNA from 1 species
CCUACGGGCGGCUGCAGUGAGGAAUAUUGGUCAAUGGGCGCGAGCCUGAACCAGCCAAGUCGCGUGAGGGAGGACGGCCCUACGGGUUGUAAACCUCUUUUGCCGGGGAGCAACGGGCGCCACGUGUGGCGUCACUGAGAGUACCCGGAGAAAAAGCAUCGGCUAACUCCGUGCCAGCAGCCGCGGUAAUACGGAGGAUGCGAGCGUUAUCCGGAUUUAUUGGGUUUAAAGGGUGCGUAGGCGGAUCGUUAAGUCAAGGGUGAAAUCCCCGCGCUCAACGUGGGAACUGCCUUUGAAACUGGCAAACUGGAGUGUGUGAGAGGAUAGUGGAAUUCCAGGUGUAGGAGUGAAAUCCGUAGAUAUCUGGAGGAACAUCAGUGGCGAAGGCGACUAUCUGGCACAUAACUGACGCUGAGGAGCGAAAGCGUGGGUAGCAAACAGGAUUAGAUACCCCAGUAGUC